GUUUAAACACCGGCUCCCAUACGAUCACCGAAGUUAUGCAAUGUCGAGCUUGAUCAAUACUUAGAUGGGUGAUCGCUUGGGAAAAGCAGGUGCUGUAAG